GGAUUUUCGCGCCUGCUGCCAUCUUGAGGAGGGGAAAGGCCGGAGCAAGAUUCCAGGAGGUUGCCCUGUGUGGUUCCGAGAGGCGAAACACUGGGUCUCCAGUGCAGCUAACUGCCCAUUAUCUCCUCUGACAUUGAGGCAGUCAUGUUACGAGGGCACCCAGUGCUAGCUUCUGCUCCCAUCUGUGUGCAAUGCCGACCACUCCACUGCUUUGAACCAGGGUGAAAGUGGAGGCUUCCUCCAUGAAGGCACAGCUCUUUCUCUGGCUCCUUAUGUGACUCCCAUCUAUGCUCUGCCCCUUUCUGCUGCUGAGUAGGCCCAAUGGCCAGUACAGAGCCCAGAAUGCGGCUUGAACUCACAACCCUGAGACCAAGACCUGAGCCAAGAUCAAGAGUCGGAUGCUUAACUGACUGAGCCAUGGAGGCGCCACUGAA